rnacentral:rRNA from 1 species
GUGGGGAAUAUUGCACAAUGGGGGAAACCCUGAUGCAGCGACGCCGCGUGAGUGAAGAAGUAUUUCGGUAUGUAAAGCUCUAUCAGCAGGGAAGAAAGUGACGGUACCUGAGUAAGAAGCCCCGGCUAACUACGUGCCAGCAGCCGCGGUAAUACGUAGGGGGCAAGCGUUAUCCGGAUUUACUGGGUGUAAAGGGAGCGUAGACGGCAGUGCAAGUCUGAAGUGAAAGCCCCGGGCUUAACCCGGGAACUGCUUUGGAAACUGUACGGCUGGAGUGCUGGAGAGGUAAGCGGAAUUCCUAGUGUAGCGGUGAAAUGCGUAGAUAUUAGGAGGAACACCAGUGGCGAAGGCGGCUUACUGGACAGUAACUGACGUUGAGGCUCGAAAGCGUGGGGAGCAAACAGGAUUAGAAACCCGAGUAGUCC